UACAGAGGUCUCAAGCGUUGUUCGGAUUCAUUGGGCGUAAAGGGUGCGUAGGCGGCGGGGUAAGUCUGGUGUGAAAUCUAGGAGCUCAACUCCUAAACUGCACUGGAUACUGCUCUGCUAGAGGACUGGAGAGGAGACUGGAAUUCACGGUGUAGCAGUGAAAUGCGUAGAUAUCGUGAGGAAGACCAGUGGCGAAGGCGGGUCUCUGGACAGUUCCUGACGCUGAGGCGCGAAGGCCAGGGGAGCAAACGGG
rnacentral:rRNA from 1 species